CGGACGGGUGAGUAAUGUCGGGGAAACUGCCCGAUGGAGGGGGAUAACUACUGGAAACGGUAGCUAAUACCGCAUAACGUCGCAAGACCAAAGAGGGGACCUUCGGGCCUCUUGCCAUCGGAUGUGCCCAGAUGGGAUUAGCUAGUAGGUGGGGUAACGGCUCACCUAGGCGACGAUCCCUAGCUGGUCUGAGAGGAUGACCAGCCACACUGGAACUGAGACACGGUCCAG
rnacentral:rRNA from 1 species